ensembl:lncRNA
AAGGAAGCUGCGGUGGCACCUAAAAAUACAGCCAAGGCUACGGAGGCUGUUGAACCAAUUAAAGGUGCUGCAGUUGACGACUCUGUGACUGCAGAGAAGAUCUCAAAGGAUCAGCCGGUCGCUGUUACCCACCCAACAUUUUGGGAGCGGAUACAAGAGCAACUGCGUCCAGAAAGAAUCCGUUGUCUCAAGACAGUCAAACUUCCCAAUUCAAAGCUUGUUUCGCUUGAUUACAAGGUGCUGUUAAUAAGCAACCUGCCAGAGUAUCACGAUGGCUGUUACGCAGAGGAGGACAUCGCCGGUCUGCUCACUCGACACCGAUUUGAGUAUUACGACGACACGAUCUACGUUAUACCACAGGCACGCAUGGCUUUUGCCCUCAUGCCGACAGCAGUGGCAGCUAAAAACAUCGUGCUAGCAUCAGAAAAUCACGAUUUUAUUCUCAGUGGUUCUAAACUUCGACUGCAGGUUGAGAAGGGCAACAUUUUAAUGACGCCGCUUGAGUUUUAUAAGUCUCUGAUGAAACGGCUAUGCUAUGUAAGUAACGCACAUAUCUCAG